AGGGAGGCCAACCAGUUUGGGAGGCCAGAGGGAACAAAGGCGUCUUUGGAAGUCAGUCCCGCUCCCCUCUGCCCUCCGCGGAUUCCACAGAUGGGAAGGGCCGUCAGGCCAUAGCCAGGCUGCUGAGAGCUAUAGGCAGUUAAACUUCUGGAAUUAAGCAUCCUGACUGCCCAAGGACUCCUUUUCCCUGCAAAAGGCUUUUCUAAUGAAAGAGAAGAAAAAGAUGGUGAGGCUUGAGGGACCAAAGCAAUAAGACUUGUCGUUUACUGAGUCUUCACUUUGUGCCCACUCCAUCCACAGUGAUCAACCUACAUUAUCUCAUUUAAUCAAUCCCCUGAGGCAAGCGUAAGGAUGGGUGGGCUGGUACUGAAGACAGAGCUUUGACAAUACCACGCUGUCAGGACUCUGCCCGAGGCUAAAAGAUAUCUUUGGAAGCUGUGCCUAUAAAAAGAAAGCAAUGUGUCCCUAGGACUACGGAAAGACUUUUCCACCAGGAAGAGGGGACUAUACCUGUUGGUACAUUUGCAUCACAGUGCUCGGCACAUAGCAGGUGCUUGAUAAAUAUUUGUUGAAUGAAUGAGGAGCUCUUCGGGAUCAAGCUGCCGUCUAAAUGACCUUGGCUGAGGAGCCCCUUCAAGGAACGAGUCACAUAUGAAGCCCUCUGACCCUGAUGGGAUCCUCAUAUUUAAGAACUCUGGAAGAGAGCACACAUGAUGGCCAGGCCAUCAGGGGGUGCCUGUGGAAGCAGCUGACUCAGAAUCAUGACCACAACGGUGGCUACUACUUCCUACGGGCUUGCUUUGUGCUCAGCUCGGUGCUGAGAGCCUUCCAGAAAUAUUUCAUUCAAUCCUUACCCUCAAACCCAUCCCUACCAUCUAUGGACAGAGUGACUGCAGGGCCCAGCAACACAUGGAAGUUCUAACAUGUGGAGCUGGGCCCUGAGCCCAGGCAUCCAGACCCAAAACUGGCGCUCCAGCCGCUGUGCCUCCUGUGAGCCCCUGCACCCUUGGCUCAGAGGUUCUCGUGCAGGGAAGACACCUCGGCCUUUUGAGGAGUCUUGAUCUCCUUGUUUGUAAAUGAUGGGGGCGUGGGCUGGACACUUUUGAGCGUGCCUUGUAUUUAGCUAGUGACAUCAGAUGGAUUCCAAUAAAGCAGAUA